CAGCAGUGCUUGGCAGGUAUGGAGGGUCAUGCUUUUGGAGGGCACCAGCAGUAGAUAUCCUGCUUUUGUCUUGGCAGAGAUAGGAAACUGGAUCCAUAGACAGCAGAGACAGGGGAGGAAUAAUAUGACCUAUACCAUGUGUCAUGCAGGAGGGCUGAGUCACAGAGCACACCAGAGACUGUGCUUAUGAUUUCCAGAAACAUGUUGGAGAAAUCUGAGGAGGAUUGGAGUUUCUGCAGAGUUGGCUGAAUACGCAAAAAUACUUGCUGGCCUAUGAAUGAGACCUAGGACUCCAUUGAGAUACAGGCAUCCAGAGUCCUAUGGCUAUUGAUACUCAGCAUCCUGGAUUCACUCACAUGGAUGAGCCCCAGCUGGAAUGCCUAGAAGACAUGGGACAGCUGGAUCUCUCUCCACACGGUUUUUCAUUGUUGCCUCAGGUUCUAAUAAAAGCAAAAGCUGCAAGGUCCUCUGAGGCAAAGACUUAGAAAUACCACAGUGUUACUUCUGCUGCAUUCUGUUGAUCAAAAAUCCCACAAUGCCAGCUUCAUUUAAAGAGGUCAUAAGACCCCCAUUUCAGAAGGGGUCCUGCCUGAUGCCUGGGAAGAAGAAAUACUGCACAGAGAUGCCAAGAAAAAUCAGGACAGGCCUCGCUGGGUUUCCUCACUUAGUCCAUCAGUAUUAGAUAAUACCCCUUUUGUCCAGUCACAUCUCUACUCAAUUAUCAAUCAUGCCUAUCAAAUGCAAUCUCCAGAGAAGGCUUAAGAAGAAAGGGUGUGAAGAGCUUCUGGACAGCUGAAUUCAUGGAGGCUUGCAGGAAGGAGAACAAUAACUCAUCAUGUGCCAAAAGGGUAGUGCAACCCAGCUCCACAGAGACAGAAGCUCCUGUGCUCAGGACCCUUCCAGACCUCGCCUUGGAUAUGUUUUCAUACGGCUGUUUAUUUGUAUCCUUUAAAUAUUCUUUAUAAUAAAUUCAUAAAUGUAAAUAAGUGUUUCCCUGAGUUUUGUGAGCUGCUCUAACAAAUUAAUUGAGCCUAAAGAGGGGGUCCUGGGAACUCCAACUUGAAGCCAAACAGUUAGAAGUUCCAGAGGCUUGGACUUGCAAAUGAUGUCGGAAGUAGGGGCAGUCUUAAGCCCUCAACCUGAUGGAUCUGAUACCAUCUCCAGGUAGAUAGUGUCAGAGUUGAAUUGGAUUGGAGGACAUACAGCUGGUGUCCACUGCAGAACUGAUUACUUGUAUAUUAGCUUGUUUUCAUGCAACUGAUAAAGACAUACCCAAAACUGGGGGAAAGAAAGGUUUAAUUGAACUUAAAGUUCCACUUGGCUGGGGA